CAGGACGCCCUCCCGGAACCGUCCCGGAGAGCCCGCCCCGGCCCCCUUCCUGCCCCCUCUUCCCGCCAGCCCGCCUGGAGCACCAGCCUCGCGCGUCCGGAGGAACCUUGGCUUGGCGCCCCAUCCUGGUAGCCUCAAACUUCAUAGCACUUUGUGGUUUUUCUUAAAACUCUGAGCCUGUGCCCGGGCGGAUCACCUGAGGUCGGGAGUUCAAGACCAGACUGACCAACAUGGUGAAACCCCGUCUCUACUAAAAAUACAAAAUUAGCCCGGCGUGGUGGCGCAUGCCUGUGAUCCCAGCUACCUGGGAGGCUGAGGCAAGAGAAUCGCUUGAACCUGGGAGGUGUAGGUUGCAGUGAGCCGAGAUCAUGCCAUUGUACUCCAGCCUGGGCGACAGAGUGAGACUCCGUCUCAAAAACAAACAAGCAAACAAACAACUUUGGGCCUGUGCCGAAGGGUCUGGGCAGAUCUUCCAAAGAUGUACAAAAUGUAGAAAUUGCCCUCAAGCAAAUGCAAAGAUGCUCAACACCCUUAGUCAUCAAGGAAAUGCAAAUGGAAUCCACAGAGAGAUACUGCACACUGACAAAGAUGGUCGUAUUACUAAAGGUGAAUAACCAGCGCGGGGGGCACGUGGAGUCACUGGAACAUUUGUGCAAUGCUGGUGGGAAUGUCAACCCGUGCGGCCCUCUGGAAUAAGCCUGGCAGCUCCUCCAAGAGUUACCGUGUGACCCAGCAAUUCCACUCCUAGCUCCACCCACAGGAAUUGAAAGCAAAGACGCAAACAGAUGCCUGUGCACCAAAGUUCACGGCAGCAUCCUUCGCCAUAGUGGCAGCAUCCGUCGUCACAGCGGCAUCAUCCUUCAUCAUAGCGGCAGCAUCCGUCGUCACAGCGGCAGCAUCCUUCGCCACAGCGGCAGCAGCUGUCGUCACAGCGGCAUCAUCCUUCGCCAUAGCGGCAGCAUCCUUCGCCAAAGCGGCAGCAUCCUUCACCAUAGCGGCAGCAUCCUUCGCCAUAGCGGCAGCAUCCUUCGCCAUAGCGGCAAGGUGGAAACCCUGUCCAUCCACUGAGGCGUGCAUAGACUAAACAUGGCCAGUCCAGGCACUGGAAUCCAGGCCGUAGAACGGCGCCCACGGUCAAAAGGAAUGAGACCCUGAUGCACUGGGCGACACAGACGGGCGACACAGACUUGGAGACAUCAUGCUAAGUGAAAAGCCAGGCACACGGAGCGGACGGCGUGAUCCUGCUCACGUGAUGUGUCCCGAAUGGGCACGUCCAGAGGGAAGAAGGGAGAUGGCGCUGCCGGUGCCCGGGACGGGGGUUGGGAGCGACGGUUGCUGGUUUGGGGUUUCUUUCUGGGGUGAGGAAGUGUUUUGAUAUUGGCCGUUGGUGAUGUUUGCAUACCUCUGAAUAUGCUAAGACCCACAGAAUUGCACACUUUAAAUGGAUGAAUUGUAUGGUAUGGGAAUUACACAAUUAUGUCUCAUUAAAGCAGUUAUUUUAAAAAUCUAG
rnacentral:lncRNA from 1 species